ACACAUAAAACCAAACACAACAUAAACGUUGAGAAUUGAUACAUAGAUAAAAUUUUGAGAUGGCAACAUGAUUUAAUGUAACCAGUGUUAGUGUCAUAUACAUUUUAGAGAGACACAUACACAUGUCAAACACCUAACAUGUCUUGAAUUAGAUGUGUUGGUGUCGGUGCUACAGAGAUCAUGAAUUCAUUCAAAAGAACAAAUACAGCUUAAAAAAACAAAACACUCUAGUUGAAUUGAACAAUUAUUUCAUCAAAAUCUAACGAGUAAAAGCAUAAACAACAACAGUAACAUAAACACAAA
rnacentral:lncRNA from 1 species